ACCCCAAGUAGAACUUAGCCUUUCUCCAUUUCUGUAAAUAAAUAACGAACGAAUCCGAGUAUAUUAAUAGUAUUAUUUACACCGGAGAUAUUAGAAGAUCAGGGAAUUCCAAAUGCAAGCUUCAUUCCGCCGAUAAUACCUUCAAGAUAAUUCUUUUAUCUCUCCACGCCGCUGUAUUUAUAAACUAAAACAUUCGUCUUGGAGUUAGUUACCAAACAACUUUACACCUUGUUCAGUGUUCUGACCUAAGAAGUAAAAUAAAAAGAAUAAACAUGUCCGGCUCAGGAGACAAGAAACCUUUCCGCCCCCCGCCCUACGAGAAGCCAUACGCGCCUCCAGAACCACCUAAAGACCGCCCCAGGGCCUAAAUACCAGAACAUUAUUAUUAGCUAUUAAGAUAGAAGUUAUUCCAAAAUUAUUAAUUAAUUAUUCUUCGUGUAGUGACGACCGAUGGAUAGAAGUAUUUCUGAUCCAGAAUUCACCAAAACAGCAUCGUUAUUGACGUUAUAAUGGUCCACAUAUGUGCAAAUGGGAUACUAUUUGUGAACUUGGAUUUUUUCACUAAGUUUCAAAUUGAAGUGUGUGGGCAAUGAAUGAAGUCUCAAGGUCCUCUCAAGGUACAUGACGUACAUCGAGAAAACCCAGCAGAGAUAAAACGAUCAAGUACGAUCAGUCAAGAGUAAUUGUGUUUGUUGUAGUUCCAUAGAUAUUAGAUGAUCAAAAUACUCAAAUCUAAAUCACAAUGUUGUUAAUUUUGUGUUUAGUAUUAGACAGUUAUGUGUCGAAUUGAAUUGUGGAAUCUCGAAUAAAUUAUUUUAAUGAGUUGAA